GAUGAACGCUGGCGGCGUGCCUAAUACAUGCAAGUCGAGCGAACAGACGAGGAGCUUGCUCCUCUGACGUUAGCGGCGGACGGGUGAGUAACACGUGGAUAACCUACCUAUAAGACUGGGAUAACUUCGGGAAACCGGAGCUAAUACCGGAUAAUAUAUUGAACCGCAUGGUUCAAUAGUGAAAGACGGUUUUGCUGUCACUUAUAGAUGGAUCCGCGCCGCAUUAGCUAGUUGGUAAGGUAACGGCUUACCAAGGCAACGAUGCGUAGCCGACCUGAGAGGGUGAUCGGCCACACUGGAACUGAGACACGGUCCAGACUCCUACGGGAGGCAGCAGUAGGGAAUCUGCCGCAAUGGGCGAAAGCCUUACGGAGCAACGCCGCGUGAGUGAUGAAGGUGUUGGGAGCGUAAAACUCUGUUAUUAGGGAAGAACAAAUGUGUAAGUAACUAUGCACGGCUUGACGGUACCUAAUCAGAAAGCCACGGCUAACUACGUG
rnacentral:rRNA from 1 species